rnacentral:rRNA from 1 species
UCUUCCCUCUGGCGGCGUGCCUAACACAUGCAAGUCGAGCGAACAGACGAUGAGCUUGUGCCUUUGACGUUAGCGGCGGGCGGGUGAGUAACGCGUGUAUAACCUCCCUAUAUUUCGGGUAUAAUUUCGGGAAACCGGAUCUAAUACCAGAGGAUAUAUUGCACCGCGUGGUGCAAUGGAGAAUUUCGGCUUUUCUGUCUCGUAUAGAUGGUUCCGGGCCGCAUUGUCUGGUUGGUAAGGUACCGGCCUACCAAGGCAACGAUUCGUAGCCGAACUGGGAGGAUGAUAGGCCACACUGGAACUGGAACACGGACCAGACUCCUACGGGAGGGAGCAGUAGGGAAUGUUACGCAAUGGGCGAAAGCCUGGCGGAGCCACGCCGCGUGGGUGACGAAGGUCUUCGGAUCGUAAAGCUCUGUUAUUAGGGAAGAACAGCUGUGUAAGUAAAUGUGGCCGUCUUGACGGUACCUAAUCAGAAAGCAACGGCUAACUACGUG